CAGAUACCAGCCCCAGGAUAUUUACGUCAGGACAGGUAACAUAUGCAUCGGAAAGUAAGUAUAUUUUUUUUUUCAUUCAUUAAUAGUUGUCUGAUAGAUAUUACAAUAAUUUUGAAUAUGUUUUACAGAUAGACGGGAGCCAAGAGAGAAGAAGAAAAAAAUACAGUCCUAGACAUUGAGACGAUUUAAUUGUAGACGCCUAGAUGAUGAUAUACCAGCCCCAGGAUAUUUACGUCAGGACAGGUAACAUAUGCAUCGGAAAGUAAGUAUAUUUUUUUUUCAUUCAUUAAUAGUUGUCUGAUAGAUAUUACAAUAAUUUUGAAUAUGUUUUACAGAUAGACGGGAGCCAAGAGAGAAGAAGAAAAAAAUACAGUCCUAGACAUUGAGACGAUUUAAUUGUAGACGCCUAGAUGAUGAUAUACCAGCCCCAGGAUAUUUACGUCAGGACAGGUAACAUAUGCAUCGGAAAGUAAGUAUAUUUUUUUUUCAUUCAUUAAUAGUUGUCUGAUAGAUAUUACAAUAAUUUUGAAUAUGUUUUACAGAUAGACGGGAGCCAAGAGAGAAGAAGAAAAAAAUACAGUCCUAGACAUUGAGACGAUUUAAUUGUAGACGCCUAGAUGAUGAUAUACCAGCCCCAGGAUAUUUACGUCAGGACAGGUAACAUAUGCAUCGGAAAGUAAGUAUAUUUUUUUUUCAUUCAUUAAUAGUUGUCUGAUAGAUAUUACAAUAAUUUUGAAUAUGUUUUACAGAUAGACGGGAGCCAAGAGAGAAGAAGAAAAAAAUACAGUCCUAGACAUUGAGACGAUUUAAUUGUAGACGCCUAGAUGAUGAUAUACCAGCCCCAGGAUAUUUACGUCAGGACAGGUAACAUAUGCAUCGGAAAGUAAGUAUAUUUUUUUUUCAUUCAUUAAUAGUUGUCUGAUAGAUAUUACAAUAAUUUUGAAUAUGUUUUACAGAUAGACGGGAGCCAAGAGAGAAGAAGAAAAAAAUACAGUCCUAGACAUUGAGACGAUUUAAUUGUAGACGCCUAGAUGAUGAUAUACCAGCCCCAGGAUAUUUACGUCAGGACAGGUAACAUAUGCAUAGGAAAGUAAGUAUAUUUUUUUUUCAUUUAUUAAUAGUUGUCUGAUAGAUAUUACAAUAAUUUUGAAUAUGUUUUACAGAUAGACCGGAGCCAAGAGAGAAGAAGAAAAAAUACAGUCCUAGACCUUGAGACGAUUUAAUUGUAGACGCCUAGAUGAUGAUGCCUGAAAAGUUUCAGUGGUACAGCUUGAAGAUGGUUCCAUUGUACAUAGAAGAUGAAGAUGAGUUAGGUUAAACCUUGUAAGAGUGAAAAAACAAAACAAAGCAGUUCCAAGGAAAAUGGUAACAUAUAGAUCUUCAACUAACUCUGAGGCUCUGCCAUGAAAAAAAUAAAGAAGCAAGGACAGCAGCUCUAAGAAAGAUUAUUACAUUGAUAAUCUUCCAAGUCUGAUGUGUAGCCAUUAAAGAAAUAAUAAUGAAAAAAAAAUAAAGCAGCAGGGAUAUAAUAAGUAGUUCCAAGGAAAAUGGUAACAUAGAUCUUAAAUCAACUAACUCUGAGGCUCUGCCAUGAAAAAAAUAAAGAUUAGCAAGGACAGCAGCUCUAAGAAAGAUUAUUACAUUGAUAAUCUUCCAAGUCUGAUGUGUAGCCAUUAAAGAAAUAAUAAAGAAAAAAAAAUAAAGCAGCAGGGAUAGUAGUUCCAAGGAAAAUGGUAACAUAGAUCUUAAAUCAACUAACUCUGAGGCUCUGCCAUGAAAAAAAUAAAGAAGCAAGGACAGCAGCUCUAAGAAAGAUUAUUACAUUGAUAAUCUUCCAAGUCUGAUGUGUAGCCAUUAAAGAAAUAAUAAUGAAAAAAAAAUAAAGCAGCAGGGAUAUAAUAAGUAGUUCCAAGGAAAAUGGUAACAUAGAUCUUAAAUCAACUAACUCUGAGGCUCUGCCAUGAAAAAAAUAAAGAUUAGCAAGGACAGCAGCUCUAAGAAAGAUUAUUACAUUGAUAAUCUUCCAAGUCUGAUGUGUAGCCAUUAAAGAAAUAAUAAAGAAAAAAAAAUAAAGCAGCAGGGAUAGUAGUUCCAAGGAAAAUGGUAACAUAGAUCUUAAAUCAACUAACUCUGAGGCUCUGCCAUGAAAAAAAUAAAGAAGCAAGGACAGCAGCUCUAAGAAAGAUUAUUACAUUGAUAAUCUUCCAAGUCUGAUGUGUAGCCAUUAAAGAAAUAAUAAUGAAAAAAAAAUAAAGCAGCAGGGAUAUAAUAAGUAGUUCCAAGGAAAAUGGUAACAUAGAUCUUAAAUCAACUAACUCUGAGGCUCUGCCAUGAAAAAAAUAAAGAUUAGCAAGGACAGCAGCUCUUAGAAAGAUUAUUUCAUUGAUAAUCUUCCAAGUCUGAUGUGUGGCCAUCAAAGAAAUAAUGUGAUUUCAGUGUUUAAAUGGAUGGGAGUAAGACUUGGUGGUAUAAUAUUUCUAAUAUUGAAGUUAGCAUUAGUUACUGCUUGUCAGUAUGGAUUGUUUAGAAUCGUCAUUGGAGCUGUCUUUUAAGGUUAUUACAGUGACUGUUUUCAUGGAUGGGGAGUAAAACUUUGUGGUCUAAUACUUCUCAUAAAUGAAUGAAGAUUUUGGAUCCUUUUAGCUUGAAAGAUUGUCAGGAACAUGAAGAAACUGAAUCCAUAAUAAACAUGUGUACACAAACAGACAAAAUAACAACAACACUGGUUGAUACAAUUCUAGGAACCGGUGAAGAAGUUAAAAGUUUUACAAUAUACUGAAGACUUGCAAUGGAAAAUCCAGGAAACAGGUCUUUUACUAAACAGUAUGAGAGAGCCAAGAUGAUUGUUGGAUUUAAAAUGCUUGGAAAAUACAACCAAA